GCGACCCCCAGGUCAGGC
rnacentral:rRNA from 2 species